AUUGAACGCUGGCGGCGUGCUUAACACAUGCAAGUCGAACGAAGUGGCGAACGGGUGAGUAACGCGUAAUCAACCUGCCCUUCAGAGGGGGACAACAGUUGGAAACGACUGCUAAUACCGCAUACUGAUGGAGGGGAUUGCGUCUGAUUCUCUAGUUGGGGGGGUAACGGCCCACCAAGGCGAUGAUCAGUAGACGGUCUGAGAGGAUUAAUGGCCACAUUGGGACUGAGAAACGGCCCAGACUUCUUCGGGAGGCAGAAGUGGGGAAUCUGCCGGAAUGGACGGAAGUCUGACGGGGCAACUCCGCGGGAGUGAUGACGGCCUUCGGGUUGUAAAGCUCUGUUAAUCGGGACGCGGUACCGGAAUAGAAAGCCACGGAUAACUACGUGCCAGCAGCCGCGGUAAUAC
rnacentral:rRNA from 1 species